UUAAGUUAUUAAGGGCGCACGGUGGAUGCCUUGGCACUAGAAGCCGAUGAAGGACGUUACUAACGACGAUAUGCUUUGGGGAGCUGUAAGUAAGCUUUGAUCCAGAGAUUUCCGAAUGGGGAAACCCAGCAUGAGUUAUGUCAUGUUAUCGAUAUGUGAAUACAUAGCAUAUCAGAAGGCACACCCGGAGAACUGAAACAUCUUAGUACCCGGAGGAAGAGAAAGAAAAUUCGAUUCCCUUAGUAGCGGCGAGCGAAACGGGAAGAGCCCAAACCAACAAGCUUGCUUGUUGGGGUUGUAGGACACUCUAUACGGAGUUACAAAGGACGACAUUAGACGAAUCAUCUGGAAAGAUGAAUCAAAGAAGGUAAUAAUCCUGUAGUCGAAAAUGUUGUCUCUCUUGAGUGGAUCCUGAGUACGACGGAGCACGUGAAAUUCCGUCGGAAUCUGGGAGGACCAUCUCCUAAGGCUAAAUACUCUCUAGUGACCGAUAGUGAACCAGUACCGUGAGGGAAAGGUGAAAAGCACCCCGGAAGGGGAGUGAAAUAGAACCUGAAACCGUGUGCUUACAAGUAGUCAGAGCCCGUUAAUGGGUGAUGGCGUGCCUUUUGUAGAAUGAACCGGCGAGUUACGAUUUGAUGCAAGGUUAAGCAGUAAAUGUGGAGCCGUAGCGAAAGCGAGUCUGAAUAGGGCGUUUAGUAUUUGGUCGUAGACCCGAAACCAGGUGAUCUACCCUUGGUCAGGUUGAAGUUCAGGUAACACUGAAUGGAGGACCGAACCGACUUACGUUGAAAAGUGAGCGGAUGAACUGAGGGUAGCGGAGAAAUUCCAAUCGAACCUGGAGAUAGCUGGUUCUCUCCGAAAUAGCUUUAGGGCUAGCCUCAAGUGAUGAUUAUUGGAGGUAGAGCACUGUUUGGACGAGGGGCCCCUCUCGGGUUACCGAAUUCAGACAAACUCCGAAUGCCAAUUAAUUUAACUUGGGAGUCAGAACAUGGGUGAUAAGGUCCGUGUUCGAAAGGGAAACAGCCCAGACCACCAGCUAAGGUCCCAAAAUAUAUGUUAAGUGGAAAAGGAUGUGGCGUUGCCCAGACAACUAGGAUGUUGGCUUAGAAGCAGCCAUCAUUUAAAGAGUGCGUAAUAGCUCACUAGUCGAGUGACACUGCGCCGAAAAUGUACCGGGGCUAAACAUAUUACCGAAGCUGUGGAUUGUCCUUUGGACAAUGGUAGGAGAGCGUUCUAAGGGCGUUGAAGCAUGAUCGUAAGGACAUGUGGAGCGCUUAGAAGUGAGAAUGCCGGUGUGAGUAGCGAAAGACGGGUGAGAAUCCCGUCCACCGAUUGACUAAGGUUUCCAGAGGAAGGCUCGUCCGCUCUGGGUUAGUCGGGUCCUAAGCUGAGGCCGACAGGCGUAGGCGAUGGAUAACAGGUUGAUAUUCCUGUACCACCUAUAAUCGUUUUAAUCGAUGGGGGGACGCAGUAGGAUAGGCGAAGCGUGCGAUUGGAUUGCACGUCUAAGCAGUAAGGCUGAGUAUUAGGCAAAUCCGGUACUCGUUAAGGCUGAGCUGUGAUGGGGAGAAGACAUUGUGUCUUCGAGUCGUUGAUUUCACACUGCCGAGAAAAGCCUCUAGAUAGAAAAUAGGUGCCCGUACCGCAAACCGACACAGGUAGUCAAGAUGAGAAUUCUAAGGUGAGCGAGCGAACUCUCGUUAAGGAACUCGGCAAAAUGACCCCGUAACUUCGGGAGAAGGGGUGCUCUUUAGGGUUAACGCCCAGAAGAGCCGCAGUGAAUAGGCCCAAGCGACUGUUUAUCAAAAACACAGGUCUCUGCUAAACCGUAAGGUGAUGUAUAGGGGCUGACGCCUGCCCGGUGCUGGAAGGUUAAGAGGAGUGGUUAGCUUCUGCGAAGCUACGAAUCGAAGCCCCAGUAAACGGCGGCCGUAACUAUAACGGUCCUAAGGUAGCGAAAUUCCUUGUCGGGUAAGUUCCGACCCGCACGAAAGGCGUAACGAUUUGGGCACUGUCUCAACGAGAGACUCGGUGAAAUCAUAGUACCUGUGAAGAUGCAGGUUACCCGCGACAGGACGGAAAGACCCCGUGGAGCUUUACUGUAGCCUGAUAUUGAAAUUCGGCACAGCUUGUACAGGAUAGGUAGGAGCCUUUGAAACGUGAGCGCUAGCUUACGUGGAGGCGCUGGUGGGAUACUACCCUAGCUGUGUUGGCUUUCUAACCCGCACCACUUAUCGUGGUGGGAGACAGUGUCAGGCGGGCAGUUUGACUGGGGCGGUCGCCUCCUAAAAGGUAACGGAGGCGCUCAAAGGUUCCCUCAGAAUGGUUGGAAAUCAUUCAUAGAGUGUAAAGGCAUAAGGGAGCUUGACUGCGAGACCUACAAGUCGAGCAGGGUCGAAAGACGGACUUAGUGAUCCGGUGGUUCCGCAUGGAAGGGCCAUCGCUCAACGGAUAAAAGCUACCCCGGGGAUAACAGGCUUAUCUCCCCCAAGAGUUCACAUCGACGGGGAGGUUUGGCACCUCGAUGUCGGCUCAUCGCAUCCUGGGGCUGUAGUCGGUCCCAAGGGUUGGGCUGUUCGCCCAUUAAAGCGGUACGCGAGCUGGGUUCAGAACGUCGUGAGACAGUUCGGUCCCUAUCCGUCGUGGGCGUAGGAAAUUUGAGAGGAGCUGUCCUUAGUACGAGAGGACCGGGAUGGACAUACCUCUGGUGUACCAGUUGUCGUGCCAACGGCAUAGCUGGGUAGCUAUGUGUGGACGGGAUAAGUGCUGAAAGCAUCUAAGCAUGAAGCCCCCCUCAAGAUGAGAUUUCCCAACUUCGGUUAUAAGAUCCCUCAAAGAUGAUGAGGUUAAUAGGUUCGAGGUGGAAGCAUGGUGACAUGUGUAGCUGACGAAUACUAAUCGAUCGAAGACUUAAUCAA
rnacentral:rRNA from 3 species